rnacentral:tRNA from 1 species
GCUAUUUUGUCAGAUAAUAUGUACUAGACUUAGGAUCUAGCUAAAUAGAAUUAAUUUCUAUAAAUAGUAAAGCAUUUAAAUCUAAUUGUUUU